UAUACAUACAUUCAUAUAUUACUUUGGACUAACAUUGCUUCAUUUUUUAUUUUAUGCCUGAAGCGAAGAGAUUUUUGUGAUGGCAUCCAGUAUUCUCAAGAUCAAACUAAAACAGCUGUAACUAAAACAGCUGCUGAAGUUGUUAGUAAACUUGAAAAAAUAUUUUUUUUAUUUGGACCGCCGGUAUGUCUUCUAAUGGACAACGAAUUUCGUUCCAACACGUUAACAAGCUUUCCUGAAGAAUGGAAUGUUAAUUUUGAAUAUCGAGCAGCACAUCGAGCUCAAGGUAAUGGUAUAGUUGAACGCAUACGCAGGACGAUAAAAAAAAACAGUUGCUCGCUCACAUUGUUCAAUCGCUCUGGCAGUCUUGCUGUACAACGAGACAAUAUCAUCCAAUUGUACUGAAAGUCCAUCCGAGCAAUUCAAGAAAAAACCAACUUGUUUCAUCCCAGGUAUCGAUAUUCAAAGGAAAACAGACGAGAAAGGCGUCAAUAUGAAAUUCAAAGAGGAAGACACGGUGUGGGUAAAGCCAACUCAAGAAAAAAAAUGUGACCAACCGUGGAUACCAGGUGUAGUGCGAAAGCAAAAUACUUUAUCGUUUGACGUCGAAUAUGAAAAUCGGGUAUAUCCGCGUCAUAUUUCACACCUGCGACGCCGUACAGACCUACAGAGUUCAAAUGAAUCAGUUAACGAUGUUUUUUACAGACUAAAAGAUAAAAUCGAUAACGCUAAAGAAAGAUAUCACGAUGAUGUUACUCAAAUUCAAAAUGAUUCUCAAGUACAUGUGCUGCAAGUAACACGCUCCGGACGAACUGUAAGGCCCCCACAAAGAUUGGACUUGUGAGUUAAUUCACCAAGAGGACGUAUUCUCUUUUUUAUGAUGGUGAAUUGUGCAUGUUGAAAAUCACGUAAAAACGUGUUGAAAGUCACGCAUUAUUUCAAUUUUAAUUAAAAGUACUCUCAUAGGACUUUUUGUUUUUUUUUAUAUAUAGAGACGAUUUUUGUAUAGAAUUAUGAGGUUAAAAGAAGCUAUAAAAUCAUACGUUUUGUUCAUUCAAUUCAUGGACGCGACAAACCAACAAAGUGACUUGAAAUUGUUUUCAUAUGAAAGAGAUAGAUCCAGGCGUGAUAAAAUUAAUUUUUGUUGAAAUAUAAGAGAUUUUGCUUGUUGAACAGAAAACUUAUUUGCCAGAAUUCAGUAUCAAGCGAUGUUGAUGUUUAUUAUUUUAUUUUACAUUAGACACUUUAAAAUAAAGCAAAUUGUCUUUGUCAUCACUUGAUUAUUUUGCUUACUGUUGAAACAUGG